UCCUUUACCUUUUGUCAGGUCAUAUGUCUAACCAAGCAAAAAGUCUUUCUUUGUCUGAUGCUACAGUUCUUUGGAUCUAUAAGUGAACAUCCUACAGAGUAAAGGCAAAGAACACGAAUCUUGUUUGCUACGAGUUGGAAGUUACUAAAGAACAUGACUCAUGCCCAAGCAUAUUUUAACCAUGGGUGCUUAGAAAUAGUCAAGAAUUACACCAGGACUUUUCCUGUGUGGGUCUCGUGCUCACUUAGGUGUUUCUCCACUCUGCUCCUGCUGCUCUUAGUUCUGUAAACUAAAAGUGAUGUGACAUGACGUAUAAGUGUUGUAAAUGUGUAGCUUUCUCUCUUUGCAUGUGUGCUCUUGAAAGAGAAAUUGAUGCUGCUUUACACAUCUCACACAGGCUGGAACACCAAGUUUCUAACGAUAAAGUGUGAACUUGCUGAACAACGUAGAUCCCCGUGUCAUGCCAUUGGUGGAAAGUUGUGAAGCAUUUUGACUGAAAAUGGCCAAAAACUAUGCAUUUUUGGUCUGGAGCCAAAGACUGUGGAUGUUUCAGUUCAGGGACCCUGUUCCGUCUGUCCUUUCUCUAUUCCAGCUGCUGUGCAACAGAGCGUCCUGGCAAAGGAAAUAGGAUUUGAGCUUACGAAAGCAGGAGCCUCUAGAUACCUGAUGUAUUACUUCAGCAGCAAAUUCAACAAGGCCAAGAUGUCUUCAUUUUCCUUCAGAGCAAGGGCUGUAAGAGCAGUGCGAUGGAAGCCGUGGUCUUCUGUGGCCAGCCGGCAAGAACCCAUCAGCAGCUGUGAUGAGCAGAGCAGACACGGGGAGACAGGAGGCAGCUGAAGCCAAAGAGGACCCACGCCUGGAGCUGUGUGUGUGAUUGGAGCAGAGAGAGGCCAGGACCCAAGGAAAUCCCAGCAGCAAGGGAAAAAAACAGAUUGACUCUCAGUGACUCAUUUAGCUCCUGGAUUGGACAGAUCUCUCCCCUGCUGGCAAUUUGGCUGAGCAUCAAUGGACAGAUACCAGGAUGAAUAGCUUAAAAUAAUUAGGGUUUGGGAAUCUGCAAAACUGCUAGCCCUCCAAUUCUUUACUGUGCAAUGUGAGGCACAAAAAAGAAAUUACAUUUAGGUUAUUAAAUACUAAGUCACUGGAUUUACCUCCAUUUGGUCCAGAACAGGAAGCUGGAUAAAAUUCAACAUUUAUAUCAUUGUGUUGAUGGCCUGUUUAUCACCAAAGAAAUGAGAGCAUUUUGGCAGGUCAAGCUCUUUGACACAUGGGGCAAAUGUGUGCUUAAUUUCUCCCAAACAGAAGAAUUAAUAUAAUAAUAAUUAACAUAGAUGAGAACAGAAUUAAAAUCAAGUACAGUCAAGAGUUCAGUUUAGUGCCAGAAGUCUUAAAUUUUAUAUGUUCUGAGACCAGAUUUUUUUCCUGUUGAAGAUAGCGAGGAUUUUGCCAUUGACGCAAAUGGGAGCAGGAGUAGGCCUUGAAUGUAGAGACAGGAUUCCCUGUACUUUCUAUUUAAUGCGAAAAAACAGAAGCAACAGGCUCAUUUAGUAUCAGUAAAGGUCAGUUAAAAUUAUAGAGACAUCCUUUGGAGCAAAUCCUCUGCCUUGUAUUUGCAUAUUUAUGAACUAGAGAUUACGACAGGCCAUUCCAUUUAUUAGAGCAGCGUCGCUAUAGUUAAUAGUCUGUCAGUAUUUCCAUUAUAAACCCCGUUUUUCAGUGUUUUAAUAUCUCAGCCAUUUAAAAUCACAUCAGGAAGCAAGUUGGCCCUCGUGUUGUCAGGCCAGGUGAAAUUUUUUGUUUUGGAUUAUUUUCAGUGCUGCUAAUA
ensembl:lncRNA